rnacentral:tRNA from 1 species
GCACUCGUAGUUCAAUGGAUAGAAUAUAGGAUUCCGGUUCCUACGAUAAGGGUUCGAUUCCCUUCGAGUGUA